GUCUACAGUCACACCACCCUGAACAAGCCCGAUCUCAUCUGAUCUCGGAAACUAAGCAGGGUCAGGCCUGGUUAGUACUUGGAUGGGAGAAACUAUAUUCAGGUUUUGCUAUUA
rnacentral:rRNA from 1 species